UACGAAGGGGGGCUAGCGUUGUUCGGAAUUACUGGGCGUAAAGCGCGCGCUAGGCGGUUCUUCAAGUCAAGUGGUGGAAAGCCCGGAGCCUCAACUCCGGAACUGCCAUUGAAACUGUAGAACUUGAGGAUGAGGAGAGGUGAGUGGAAUUCCCAGUGUAGAGGUGAAAUUCGUAGAUAUUGGGAAGAACACCGGUGGCGAAGGCGGCUCACUGGCUCGAUUUCUGACGCUCAGGCGCGACAGCGUGGGGAUCGAAACAGG
rnacentral:rRNA from 1 species